UACGAAGGGGGCUAGCGUUGUUCGGAAUUACUGGGCGUAAAGCGCACGUAGGCGGAUCGAUCAGUCAGGGGUGAAAUCCCAGGGCUCAACCCUGGAACUGCCUUUGAUACUGUCGAUCUGGAGUAUGGAAGAGGUGAGUGGAAUUCCGAGUGUAGAGGUGAAAUUCGUAGAUAUUCGCAAGAACACCAGUGGCGAAGGCGGCUCACUGGCCCGGUACUGACGCUGAGGUGCGAAAGCGUGGGGAGCAAACAGG
rnacentral:rRNA from 1 species